CCUACGGGGGGCUGCAGUGAGGAAUAUUGGUCAAUGGGCUUACGCCUGAACCAGCCAAGUCGCGUGAGGGAAGACUGCCCUAUGGGUUGUAAACCUCUUUUGUCAGGGAGCAACGCCGGCUACGUGUAGCCGGACUGAGAGUACCUGAAGAAAAAGCAUCGGCUAACUCCGUGCCAGCAGGCGCGGUAAUACGGAGGAUGCGAGCGUUGUCCGGAUUUAUUGGGUUUAAAGGGGGCGUAGGCGGAAUGCCAAGUCAGCGGUAAAAUCGGGGGGCUCAACCUCGCUCCGCCGUUGAAACUGGCGUUCUUGAGUUGGCGAGAAGUAUGCGGAAUGCGUGGUGUAGCGGUGAAAUGCAUAGAUAGCGCGCAGAACUCCGAUUGCGAAGGCAGCAUACCGGCGCUCAACUGACGCUCAUGCACGAAAGUGUGGGUAUCGAACAGGAGUAGAUACCCCAGUAGUC
rnacentral:rRNA from 1 species